rnacentral:rRNA from 1 species
GACGAACGCUGGCGGCGUGCUUAACACAUGCAAGUCGAGCGGAGCGGCGAACGGGUGAGUAACGCGGGAGUAACUGCCCCCCUCCCUGGGAUAACAGAUGGAAACGGCUGCUAAUACCGGAUAUUGGGGGAUGACUCGCGUCCUAUCAGAUUGUUGGUUGGGUAGGGGCCUACCACGCCGACGACGGUGAGCCGGCCUGGGAGGGCGACGGGCCACAUUGUGCUGAGAUACGGCCCAAAGUCCUACGGGGGGCAGCAGGGGGGAAUAUUGCACAAUGGGGGAAACCCUGAUGCAGCAACGCGCGUGCGGGAUGACGGCCUUCGGGUUGUAAACCGCUUUCGGCCAUGACGCGGUAGUGGCAGAAGAAGCACCGGCUAACUACGUGCCAGCCGCCGCGGUAAUAC